UUCAUGAAGCUGGAAUUGCUAGUAAUGGCAGGUCAGCAUACUGCCGUGAAUACGUUCCCGGGCCUUGUACACACCGCCCGUCACACCAUGAGAGUUGGGAAUACCCGAAGCCUGUGAGCUAACUUUUAGAGGCAGCAGUCGAAGGUAGAAUCAAUGAUUGGGGUGAAGUCGUAACAAGGUAGC
rnacentral:rRNA from 1 species